UAAUCGAUGGGGGGACGCAGUAGGAUAGGCGAAGCGUGCGAUUGGAUUGCACGUCUAAGCAGUAAGGCUGAGUAUUAGGCAAAUCCGGUACUCGUUAAGGCUGAGCUGUGAUGGGGAGAAGACAUUGAGUCUUCGAGUCGUUGAUUUCACACUGCCGAGAAAAGCCUCUAGAUAGAAAAUAGGUGCCCGUACCGCAAACCGACACAGG
rnacentral:rRNA from 1 species